rnacentral:rRNA from 1 species
AGAGUUUGAUCAUGGCUCAGAUUGAACGCUGGCGGCAGGCUUAACACAUGCAAGUCGAGCGGGGAAGGGUAGCUUGCUACCUGACCUAGCGGCGGACGGGUGAGUAAUGCUUAGGAAUCUGCCUAUUAGUGGGGGACAACAUUCCGAAAGGAAUGCUAAUACCGCAUACGCCCUACGGGGGAAAGCAGGGGAUCUUCGGACCUUGCGCUAAUAGAUGAGCCUAAGUCAGAUUAGCUAGUUGGUGGGGUAAAGGCCUACCAAGGCGACGAUCUGUAGCGGGUCUGAGAGGAUGAUCCGCCACACUGGGACUGAGACACGGCCCAGACUCCUACGGGAGGCAGCAGUGGGGAAUAUUGGACAAUGGGCGAAAGCCUGAUCCAGCCAUGGCCGCGUGUGUGAAGAAGGCCUUUUGGUUGUAAAGCACUUUAAGCGAGGAGGAGGCUACUUGGAUUAAUACUCUAGGAUAGUGGACGUUACUCGCAGAAUAAGCACCGGCUAACUCUGUGCCAGCAGCCGCGGUAAUACAGAGGGUGCGAGCGUUAAUCGGAUUUACUGGGCGUAAAGCGUGCGUAGGCGGCUUUUUAAGUCGGAUGUGAAAUCCCUGAGCUUAACUUAGGAAUUGCAUUCGAUACUGGGAAGCUAGAGUAUGGGAGAGGAUGGUAGAAUUCCAGGUGUAGCGGUGAAAUGCGUAGAGAUCUGGAGGAAUACCGAUGGCGAAGGCAGCCAUCUGGCCUAAUACUGACGCUGAGGUACGAAAGCAUGGGGAGCAAACAGGAUUAGAUACCCUGGUAGUCCAUGCCGU